UACGUAGGGGGCAAGCGUUGUCCGGAUUUAUUGGGCGUAAAGAGCGUGUAGGCGGCCAGGUAGGUCCGUUGUGAAAACUAGAGGCUUAAUCUCUAGACGUCGAUGGAAACCAUCUGGCUAGAGUCCGGAAGAGGAGAGUGGAAUUCCUGGUGUAGCGGUGAAAUGCGCAGAUAUCAGGAAGAACACCCGUGGCGAAGGCGGCUCUCUGGGACGGUACUGACGCUGAGACGCGAAAGCGUGGGGAGCGAACAGG
rnacentral:rRNA from 1 species